CCUACGGGUGGCAGCAGUGAGGAAUAUUGGUCAAUGGCCGGAAGGCUGAACCAGCCAAGCCGCGUGAAGGACGAAGGUGCCAAGCAUUGUAAACUUCUUUUGACAAGGGACAAAAUCAGGCUCGAGAGCAUGACCGAGGGUACUUGAAGAAAAAGGAUCGGCUAACUCCGUGCCAGCAGCAGCGUUAAUACGGAGGAUGCGAGCGUUAUCCGGAUUUAUUGGGGUGAAAGGGUGCGAAGGCGGAUGUUUAAGUCAGCGGUAAAAGCCCGGGGCGAAACCCCGGCGCGCCUUUGAAACUGGCUGUCUUGAGAUGUCUAGAGGUAUGCGGAAUGCGCAGUGUAGCGGUGAAAUGCUUAGAUAUUGCGCAGAACUCCGAUUGCGAAGGCAGCAUACCGGCGGCGAUCUGACGCUGAGGCACGAAAGCGUGGGUAUCGAACAGGAUUAGAUACCCCUGUAGUC
rnacentral:rRNA from 1 species